AGCGAACGCUGGCGGCAUGCCUAACACAUGCAAGUCGCACGGGGGGGCUUCGGCCUCCCAGUGGCGGACGGGUGAGGAACGCGUAGGGACAUGUCGAGGGGCGGGGGAUAACCGCGGGAAACUGCGGCUAAUAUCGCAUGACGCCGCGGCGUGACAGCCGGGGGCAAAGGCGAAAGCGGCACGCCGAGGGGGCUGGGGCCGAUUAGCUGGUUGGCAGGGUAGCGGCCCACCAAGGCGUCGACCGGUGGCUGGUCUGGGAGGGUGAUCAGCCACACCGGGACUGAGACCCGGCCCGCACUCCUACGGAAGGCAGCAGUGGGGAAUAUUGUACAAUGAGCGCAAGCCUGAUCCAGCAAUGCCGCGUGGGUGAGGAAGGUCUUCGGAUUGUAAAUCCCUUUCGGCGGGGACGAUGGUGACGGUACCCGCUGAAGAAGCCCCGGCUAACUUCGUG
rnacentral:rRNA from 1 species